UUGUAUUUGCACGGCGUCGCACAAGUACAAAAUAUACAAUGCAAGAUACAACCACCACAUAUGAAUAUCCACACAUCCAUACACCAUUCACAUUCACAUUUAAUACAUCACAAUUAUCCAUAAAUCCAUAUCUAUCAGUUUAAAAUAUUUUCUACUCAAAAACUUAUUUUGAAAUACUAUGAAUCAUGAAACCACGAAAAACCUUUUUAAAAUUGUUUCCCACGAGGAAAUCUUUUUCUUUUAAAACACGCUACUACGAGGGGUAAAAAACUAUUUCUAAUAUUUUACAUGAGGACCACAAGUACUUUAUUUAACUUCACAAAACCAUAAACAUUCACUUGAUUAAAACCACUAAACCAUAAAU
rnacentral:lncRNA from 1 species